GAUUGAGGAAUAUAAAAAACUCUGUGAAUUGAAGAGAAAGGAUACUUAUCAAAAGAAGAAAGAAUUGGAUACAUUAAAACUUGAAGUGUCAAAAAUGAGAGAAACAGUUAGUACCAGGACAGUGGUAAGAAAGAAUAAACUAUGUCUCUCCAGGCCUGUCCAGGGCACCUUGAUAUAUGUAUACACUGUCUUAAAUAUAACCAGCAGCAGGUGCUUUUUUAAAGGAGCUGAUUUUAAUCCAUCUGCAUGCCAUUCUGAGAGAAUGUUUUCGGCGUGCUAAGGUUUUCUGACACUUUAUUUAAAAUGGUAUAGUGCGAUUGUGUUUUUUCUUUGGGAAUAUGGUCAGAAGAAGGAAGCUUGAAUUACCUUAGGUACAAACUGCAUUCGAUGGACCAGAAUACUGUAAAAAUGGGUUUUUAAAAUGCACACAGAACUGACCAGGUGCAUACAGAACCAUAUAUAACAUCUCCAUGAGAUUGUCUUAUUUUACAUAACAAAAUGAAUAGCCAUGGGCAAAUUCCUUAAUUCUGAAUGUGUGAUAAUAAAACAGCUUAGGCUUUUGAUUUAUAUUGGCUACAGGAGCAUUAAUGUGGAAAGGGGACUAUUCGUAUGAAGUAGAAAAUACUUCAGAGCUCUGUGCUUCUAUUUUUUAAAAUUGAUAACAUUGAUUGAAAACCAGCCCUCAUAAAUGUUUUGUGAGGAUUAUCCUUAUUUUAAAGAUAAGAAAACUGAAGCUUAUUCAGAUGGUUCUAAUGGAAGAGGGUAAUGAUAAUACCCCUUCUGUGUUAAUUAAAACAGAAAUGCCUGCUAAUCUUCUAUUGCAAUUAGUUGAAUUAACGAGUCUUUGGUGUAUUUCUUCUAUCUGUAUUGAGAAUUACAUGUAAAACUAUAUGGGGCAACAGUCAUCACAUUUCUUACCAGAAACAUCACACUUCUCAUCAGAAUACUCAGCUACUUCCCUUAUAUUUUUUAUAGAGUGGUUCUGAUCAUUCUGAUCAUCUUAGUUACAGUGUGUCUAUUAUGAUAUCCAAUUACAGAAUAUUAGUAGAAUCAAAAUUUCUCCCCAGUAUGUGUUUUUAAGAUCAUUGGGGUGCCUGGGCAGCUCAGUCAGUUAAGCCUCCAAAUCUUGAUUUUGGCAUAGGUCACGAUCCCAGGGUCGUGGGAUUGGGUCCAGGUCAUUAGGCUGCGUGCUGGGUGUGGAGGCUUCUUAGGAGUCUCUCUCCCCCCUUCUGCCUCUCCCCCACUCUUGCAUGCAGGUGCAAUAAAUAAAUCAGUAGAUAGAUAAAUAACCAUUAUCUGUUUUUCAAAUAUCUGUAUAGUAAGCAAGCAUGAAUGAGGCUAGAUUCAAAGGAGAACAGAAGGGUUAUAUCAGAUAGACUUUAUCUGCAGGCCCAAGCUCCUGCCUUUGUUUGCAUCUCAUAGGUCAUGAGUCAGGUACUCCAUCAACUCAAUUGGGAAGACACAGUAUACAUUCCUUCACCUGUGCUCCAAAGAUCUCUAAGAUCAAAUUAUGCAAGGCUAGAAGAUGGCAAGGAUAAACUCACCUCCAGCGUCAUCGCCACCUCCCAUAAGCCAACAUGCCCACCCUAACUCCACUUUACUGCAGGAGAAUAGUGUUUAAAGCACAAACUUGAGUGUCACAGAGACCUGGGGUCACAUUUUUAACUCUAUCAACCUGAAGUUUCCGCACCUAUAAAAUGGGGUGAUAAUACUGCCUACUUCAAAGGGCUAGAAGCUCAAGUGAGGUCAUGCCCAUAAGACUUUUAGCUGAGUGCUUUGUAUUUGGUAAAGGUGGUUAUUGGAGUUGUUACUCUCACCAUCCACGAUUAGAAAACAGGCUUUGGCUGUGGACUGAGGCAACAGGACAUUCCAGGUUAAUCUUCCAGGGGUGUCUUCAUUUUAGAUGACUCUGCAGCCCGGUCAAGCUGAGGUGAUGUUGCCAGAAAAGAAUAAUGGUGUGUGAUUCUUGAGGUGGCCUACAUGCCCAGGGCAGGGGGGACUGAAGACGAGUGGUGACUCCAUGCCAGGGAGCAGUGGAAUUUGAUGAACUUUCUCUCCCUUCCAUUUCUCCCUCACAGCUGUAGUGCAGACCCAAGGCUCUAAUUUGUUUGCCACCCCCUUUCUUUAUCCCAAAACUGCAUUGUUAACACAUGUGCCACUUGGAGUUUUCUCUAUUCAUACUUCAUUCUUUUAUUUAUUUAUUUUUUUAUAAAUUUUUUUUUCAACGUUUAUUUAUUUUUGGGACAGAGAGAGACAGAGCAUGAACGGGGGAGGGGCAGAGAGAGAGGGAGACACAGAAUCGGAAACAGGCUCCAGGCUCCGAGCCAUCAGCCCAGAGCCUGACGCGGGGCUCCAACUCCGGGACCGCGAGAUCGUGACCUGGCUGAAGUCGGACGCCCAACCGACUGCGCCACCCAGGUGCCCCAAUACUUCAUUCUUUUAAAUGAUGUUAAUAUUUUACCACAGCACCCAGCUGUUACAUUUCCAAAAUACUGAUUAAUAUUAAGAAAACUUCUCUUAACCUGAGCAUAUUUGUCAGUUAAGGUAACUUGUUUUUACUUUUUUUUUUUUUUAAAUAAUACUCAUUCUAAUGUCCUGGAAUAUUUUGAAAAUGAUUAUGAAAAUACAGAUUUGUUUAGACUUAUUUUAAGAGGUAGCCAAAAUGAAUUCAUGUCUUAAAAGUUGUUUUUAUAGUUUUCAUAUUCUUGUUGCUAUAUUUGGUUGCUCUCUCUCCAAAAUUGUAGGGUUUUUUUCUGAUGAUUUCAGAAUUAUUUCCGUCCAAGUUUGUUCUAUGAAUAAAUAAUUUUAAUGAUUGCUUUUUAUCUUAGCUAAAGGUACCCCCAAUGUAAAAGUUGAAUAAGUGAUACAUGAAUAUUUAGUGAAUUGAACACUUCCAUGAAUCAUUUGGUGACAAUUGAAUACCAUAAUUUUAUUGAAUUAUCAAUAGGUUCUUAGUGAUCACAAUUUAGAGAUAGCACAACUACAAGAAUCAAUAAGGCAUUGGGAACAAGAGAUUGAAGAAAUGAAGAAAUCCUGUAAGAUCCUGGAGGAUAAAAUGUAAGUUCAAUGCUUUAUUUUUACUAAAAUGUUUCUAGAUGUUAUAUUUUUUCAUUAAAAAUUUUUUUUAAUAUUAGAUUGAGAACUAUAUUCUCUUAAUUUACUAAAAUUUGCAAUUGUCAGCUUUAUAAAACCACCUCUUCGUUUGGAAAUUAACCAGUCUUCCACAUGAUCAAGAGAAAAAAUUGAGGAGGAUACAAUCCUGUAUGAAUUGUCCCCACUUUAGUUCCUGAUUCCCUACAAACAAAUAUGCCCCCAGGGGAUGGCAUUAGUGGAACCUCCUGUAGGUUCACCUACCGUUGCUAUGAUAGUUGUGGUUCUUAGUCAAGGGGGACUUACAGAACUUAUUGAAAAAAAUACAAGGAUAUUUCAGGGCAAAACCCGUGGGACUAGAACCAUAAACUUAAGGAAAUCUGUCCAUCCCAAGGAACAGUCUCUGCUUCCUUUUGGGAACCAUGUUUCAUUCUCUAUCUACAUACUAUGUUCUCUCCUUGGGGAGCUCAUGGCUAAACAUGGCCAUUCCAAACCCUCAAAGGUUACCUGUCACAGGUCCAUCUAUCUUUAGAGAUUGGCCCACAGACUUCUCCCAGGAGAAUUCCCAGAUUUUUUUUUCCCUUCAGAAGGUGUUUGGCUCAGCUCUGACCAGGAAGAGUGGGGUCUUGUAGUACAAAUAUGGCGUCCAGGCCUUCCCCUAGAUUCUACUUGCAGUUUAAAAGACAAAUUUUGGACUUAGUAGGUUCCCCAAAAGGCAAGUAACUUCCCAUGUGUAAUCUCAUUAUAAUAUAGCUUAUUUCUAUGUAGGAGUAAAUGUUUUGUGAUUUAUAUGUUUUCUAAAACAGCGGUUGCCAACAGUACAGUGCUAUUCUACCAUCAUCAGGCCAUAAAAUAGGCAAUAAUCUUUGCACUCAGUACCAGAUUUAAAAAUUUAAAAUCUUGGGGUGCCUGGCUGGUUCAGUGAGUGGAGCCUGUGACUCUUGAUCUUGGGGUUGUGAGUUUGAGUCCAUGUUGGGCAAAGAGUUUACUUAAAAAUAAAUAAUUUUUUAAAAAGAAGUAUGAAAGCUCGAGUCAUACUACAACUAAAACUCAAAAUAAAAAAAUCUUUUUCUUUGAAAGUGAUUCAAUAGUUUUAGUUCAUGCAUAUUUUGAAGAAAAACUAGGCAAAUAAUCAUAGAGGAAGAUACAGAUCAGGUCUUCAGUUAUUUCUAGGAGUUAUGAUUUAAAAACUUGCUAUACUGAUGAAGUUUUAUUGAUAAGUAGUCUUCAUGUUAGCUAAUUUGUUUUAAAUAUACAUUCAAGAAUGAAAUGGGGAUUCAUUGAUCUUCUACUUUUAAUGGCUCAUCAUUUUUUUUUUAUCCCAGCUUUUCAAGAGUUUUCAUUCAUAUGGAAUCUCUGUGAGGAAAAGUGCAUUUGGUUAAUUUGGUGAUUGAAGAUUUCAGUUACCCCCUUUGUUACUAAUAAAACUAUACCGUUUUUCUUUACUACCAAGCAAAUUAAAAGAAAAUUCUUACGUUCUUUCUGUUUUCUCCUUUAGUUCAUUUACUCAAUUUAUGGAAGUGAGAAAAGGCACCUAAAUCUUGGUUGGUAGAUUUGAAGAGUCAAACAGUGUUGUUUUAUAAUAGCCCAUAAGAUUCUUUAAGAAUAAAUUAUACAAUAAACUAAAAUAAUUUGCACCAACUCAUCUUCCUAUUAAUCAAUAAACUUUAUUUUUCCCCCAUAAAGUCUUUAAUUUCCAAGCUUGUUACAUGUUUUGAGGUCCAAAUAUUGAGGAAAAACAAAUCACUCAAACAUGAGUUAAAAUUCUGUGUGUGGACAGUUGAGAGAACAUAAAUGCUCCACAAGUCCACAGGAAGCAUUGAUAGUUUAAACCUUAUUCAUUAUUAUUAUUGACGUCCAGCAUGAUGUGUUUGCAUAAUAAAGGCAAAUCCUGUGCCUACAUUUCUAACCGAGUAUGGUCUUUCUUCACCAUUCAGCUAGUUUUCAGCACACAGGAAGUUGGAAACUAAAUGUUGUAUAUAAAUGGUAUCCAAUUUGUGACCCUGAGUAUACACUUACCAUUGCAGUGAAGGCUAUGAAAAUUAUAGAUGCUUUUUUAGAAGGGUUGAAAUGACUUCAAGAUUUUCCUGAUUACCAAUGACCUGUACUGCCAAACGUUAAUGAUUUAGCCUAUUCCUUAAAGUUCUUGAAUUCUUAAUGGAAUUUGACACAUUUCCACCUUCUUGAAAUACUUUCUUCCCUUGGCCUCCCAAACAUCAUAUUUUCUUUUAAAAAAAUUUUUUUUAACGUUUAUUUAUUUUUGGGACAGAGAGAGACAGAGCAUGAACGGGGGAGGGGCAGAGAGAGAGGGAGACACAGAACCGGAAACAGGCUCCAGGCUCUGAGCCAUCAGCCCAGAGCCCGACGCGGGGCUCGAACUCACGGACCGCGAGAUCGUGACCUGAGCCAAAGUCGGACGCUCAACCGACUGAUCCACCCAGGCGCCCCAACAUCAUAUUUUCUUAUGUCACUCACUAAACUGCCCCUUUUUAGGGCCCUUUAUUUGUUCCAGUUCUUCUCUCUGGCUCUAAAUUUUGGAGUUCUCAGCCCUUCUCUAUUCAUACUCUCCAUACAUGAUUUGAUCCAGUCUUAUGGUGUUAUAUACCUUCUGUACCCCAAUGACUCCCAAAUUAAAUAUCCAGCACAGAGUUCUAAAUGCAUAUUUGACCUCUCCAGCAUAUUUGACCUGUCCGUUUGAAGGAUAUCUGUUAGAUAUCUCAAAUACAACACGUCCUAAACGGAACUCUUAAUUUCCCACCUCCUUGAAACAGCUCUUCCGUCAGUCUUCCGUAUCGCCAUUUACCUAGUUAAUCUAGCCAAAAACCUAGGAAUCAUGCAUCAAUCCUGUUUUCCUCACUACCUAACCCUAACCCAACCUCCAGCCAAAUCCAAAGGCAGAUCCAACUAUUUCUCACUACUUUCACCACUUCAACUUUAGUCUGAACCACCGUUUUCUCUUCUUGACCACUGCUGUAGCCUUCUACAUAGUCUGUCUUCCUGUAUUGUUGUCUUUCUCCACUAAGUAGCCACAGUCAUCUUUACAAGAUGUAAAUCAGUUCAUGUCUCUCCUCUGCUUAAAUUCUCCCCUGGUUCCCUUCACAAUGAUAUCUGAACUUCUCCUCUGUCCUUGAGACCCUACGUGAUCUAGUCUCUGUCUGCCUCUCCAACUUUCUCAUAAUUGUCUCUUCACCAAAUACCCAAAACUUGUUCUUGACUCAAGAUAUUAUCACUGACUGUUCCUUCUACAUGAAAAGCUCUUUCUUCAGGUCUUCACCUAUCUGGCUCCUUUUCAUCAUUCAGGUCUUUCACAGAUCAUCUCAAGAAGCCUUCCAUUACCACCUAUCUACAAUAAUACCCUCACUCUCAGGAUUUCUCUGUCCUUCACCCUACUUUGUGUUCUUUAAAGCACUUAACACUAUCUGAAAUAAUAAUAAUAAUUGUUAUUGUUAUUUUGAUAACUUGCUUAUAUUCUACUUCACUAGAGUGUAAUUUCCAUGAGGGCAGGGACUUCACCUGUGCUGUAUCUCUAGUACCUAUAAUACCUGCAGAGGACAAGUGUUUAAUAAUUACUUCUUAAUAAAUGAAGUAUUAAUUCAUCAAACAAGUAAAAAAAUUUUUGCUUAGUUUUGUGAAUAUACCCAUAAAUAUGUUGUAUAGGAAGAUGGGGACUGGAAGUUUCUGGAGUCAUAAAUAAAUGUGGCUUUACUGGAAAACAUGCCCUAAUAUGAAUCUGUUUGGCUUCCUUUGAUCAUAGGCAUUUUUUUAUGAAUAACAAGGAAAAACUGGAAGAUUCAUCUAGUGUUGAAAAAGAUGAAAUUUUGCAGAAGAUAAAGCAGGUAGGAAGAUGGAAAUUACGCCUUUUAGAUUAUUAUUCGUUUUUAUUUUUAGUUAAUAUUUUAAAUAUAUUUGAGAAAUGUGAAAUUUUCCAAAAGUAGAUUUUUCAUGAUAUAAUAAUGAUAAUAUAAUAAUAUAUAUUAUACUAUAU
rnacentral:lncRNA from 1 species